ACAAACCCCAGCAAUGGGAACUUUCAGUGAAUAUCCUUUUCAGCCUCCACACCUACUAUCUGUUUUGCUUUCUCUUUUUUUUUUUUUUUUUUUUUUUUUCUCCCUCGUUCAUCUCUGAGCUCGGGGAAAGUGAAGAGUGACCUAACAUUUACCGAGCCCUUCUCACUUGACUGUGAUCGUUCUCCACACACACUUCAAAGGUCACCGGAUGUUCCCAAUUCAAAGCUGAGCAAACGGCAAAGUUUAAGAGAGCAGAUGAUAGGGGGGGAAGUGGAUGAAAAGAAGCACAAAGGAGGUAAACAACCAAAACCCUCUGAAACAAGACCCGUGGCAGAGUCGUAUGGACCUCGGUGGAUGUGCGGGUCGAGCAUCACAGCGCAGAGACGCUUCCUCCGCGCCGUGUCCCUGGGCUGCUGCUGCAACUCAACACCAGCUUUAUCGAUCGGACUCCUAAGCCUCCACCAACCUGGUCAAACCCGAGUCCUUUCUGAUAUUUACCCACUAAAGUAUUCCCUUCUGCUAGCGCUGCCAACCCACAAGACAUGGAGGGAGGAAAAAAAGUCAAUUAUAUACAACGUGCUUGGUUUCCCCUCAAGGAUGGAAUCCACCCUUUCUAAUCCGAUCAAUUCAUGUCAGACAGGAGGCUGGAUUCAGUGCUAUCUCUGAAGUCCUGUAAUCCAGGCUAAGUCUUCACACUGCCUGCCUCACCUCCACAAGAAAAGGGUUUGGUCCAGAGCGUGAUACAGCAAAUUAGUCGUAGUGUACAUUUAGACACACUGCAGUGGAAGAGUGCCAGUGUGCUAACAGCUAAGCAUAAUUGGAUAAGCAAUUCAGCUAAUUCCUAUAGUCAAUACUACAGCUGGCACAUGCAAUAUAGGGGGACUGGGGCUAGUUGUCACACUUUUUGCUUUCGUUUUAUUUUUGAAAGUCAGAUUCUAUAUUAGCAGGUGUGUUGAAACAAAUAAAACAAUACAUGUCGUUUCAUAAUCUUUUUAUUUUUUGAAAUUCAAUUUCUCUAAAAGCAGGCAUGCUGAAAUGAAACAAUAAAAAUAUAUGUAUAUGCCAUUUCAUAGUAUCAUAAUAAACGGUAACAAAAACAUAUCAAACCAUAUAAUAUAUAACCAUUGUUUUAGCCACAAAUACUGUGCUUAAUAAACUCUAUAAUUUUACAAUUUUUAAAAGCAUGAAAACUUGCCUCAACCUGAACUAAUCUUUCAAUUAAAAAUCUACCUUCAUUAUACACUUGACUCUUGUCUGAAUGCUUAAUUAUAUUCACUUGUUUAAACGUUAAGGUGAAGAUAAGAUGCCGUAAUUAAUUUGGUUGAAAUAAUUCAGACAAAAAAAAAAAUGUAUAUAUUUUUUAAUUAAAGAGGUUUUUAAAAUGUGUGACAAUUAGCCCCAGCCUCCCAUAUUGUAGACAUUCAGCAAGGUACGAUGUGAUUUUUUUUUGUACUUUUAGCCACUGGUGAACUAUAUCCAAGCAGUAUAUAACUUUGAAGUAUUUGGCUGGUGGUAAGACAUGGGAAGGUGUCCCAUUACAGACAUGCAAAGGCUAACGGCCAGUGCGCACGGUAAAUGAGCAGGAACGAGGAGAGAGUGCUGGGACACUUUAAUUUCCACUGACAUAUUGUGCUUCAUGUACAGUCUGAAUGGCUCCAUAAAGAAAGUGUAAUGAUGGUCCAGGACCCUGGCCAAAUAGCUGACAUGCACGGCUUCCCUGGUCAGCUCAGCACCGGGUUUGAUCCGUCUCAUUACACCAGUCAUUCAAAUAAUGGGCAGCUAUGGGAGCUCUGGUAAAGCUGCAACUAAUACACAUGCCAAAGUCUACAUCAGAGCAGUUCAUUCUCGCUGUCUGCUUAGUAUGCACAGGUGUUCGGGGGCCGAGAAAGAAACGUAUAAAUCUACAUUUUUAAUUUAUAACAUACUGCAAUAAAAUUAUAUAAACAGAUAUAAAAAGCUUAUUUUAAAAUUAUAUAUAACAAAAAACACUAUAUUAAAUCAUUUAUCUAAUUGGCAUUAUUUAAAAACUAAAUUGAAAGUACAUAUUAGUAAAACAAAAAAAAACAUUCAAUACUCUUAAUAUAAUAAUUUUCUGAAAUGUCCUCUAAAACUUACAAAUACUAAAAAAAAUGCAUUACAAUCAAGAAAGUUCUAAUCUGAUCAUAUAGGAGAAACUGAAGAAAGCUUAGAUAAAUCAUCACCUAUAAAAAGAUCUCACCAGCCACCGUCUAGCAAUAACGAUAUAUUUUUUCAAACCGGUUCGUAAAAACAGCAUUAAAGCUUGUCUGCCGAGAUCGGAAAAGAACAAUAGCUCCUUAUUCUCAUUCAGAUGAAUGCAUGGCAAGGAGAGGGAGAGGCGCGAUAAAUCGGCCACCCCUGCUCUUGUCUCGCUUCAAAAGAAUCUGUUAGAGAGAGAGGGAGAGGGAAAAAAAAAAAAGCAGGGAGCAAGACCCACACGAUGUAGUUCCAGCCAAUUGCAUUCCAGAGAAGUGACCAUGGCUGGAGAUAAACAAUGCACAAUAGAUCACGCUCUUCAAAAGGUAUAAAAGAAAGGCAGAUGCCGCAGGAAUAAGGCAAUAGCGGGAGAAAAGAAAUAAUCCGCGUUUCUCCAGCAAUUCCGAAAAGCAUAAUUGUUUAAAUCCUUUAUUCAGGAUUGCCAUUAACCCUGUGCAGUGUACGGCUGCAACAAUCUGCAUGUGAAGGGAAAUAGGAACCUCUCGCUCUCUCUCUUUCUCUCUCCCUAUGUGAGGUUGCCAGGCUCACCCUCUCCAAACCACAGACAGAGCCAAAAUCGCUUUAAAUUGUUCCUCACUGUCGCAAACAAAAAAAGCA